rnacentral:rRNA from 1 species
GAUAGCCACGCUAAUUCGUGCCAGCAGCGCGGUAAUACGGGAGUGGCAAGCGUUAUCCGGAAUUAUUGGGCGUAAAGCGUCCGCAGGCGGCUUUUCAAGUCUGCUGUUAAAACGUGGAGCUUAACUCCAUCAUGGCAGUGGAAACUGAAAGGCUUGAGUAUGGUAGGGGCAGAGGGAAUUCCCGGUGUAGCGGUGAAAUGCGUAGAUAUCGGGAAGAACACCAGUGGCGAAGGCGCUCUGCUGGGCCAUUACUGACGCUCAUGGACGAAAGCCAGGGGAGCGAAAGGGAUUAGAUACCCCUGUAGUCCUGGCCGUAAACGAUGAACACUAGGUGUCGGGGGAAUCGACCCCUUCGGUGUCGUAGCUAACGCGUUAAGUGUUCCGCCUGGGGAGUACGCACGCAAGUGUGAAACUCAAAGGAAUUGACGGGGGCCCGCACAAGCGGUGAAGUAUGUGGUUUAAUUCGAUGCAACGCGAAGAACCUUACCAGGGUUUGACAUCCUGCGAACCUCUUAGAAAUUUGAGGGUGCCUUCGGGAAUGCAGUGACAGGUGGUGCAUGGCUGUCGUCAGCUCGUGUCGUGAGAUGUUGGGUUAAGUCCCGCAACGAGCGCAACCCACGUUUUUAGUUGCCAGCAUUUAGUUGGGCACUCUAGAAAGACCGCCGGUGAUAAACCGGAGGAAGGUGUGGAUGACGUCAAGUCAUCAUGCCCCUUACACCCUGGGCUACACACGUACUACAAUGCUACGGACAAAGGGCAGCAAACUCGCGAGAGCUAGCAAAUCCCAUAAACCGUGGCUCAGUUCAGAUCGUAGGCUGCAACUCGCCUACGUGAAGUAGGAAUCGCUAGUAAUCGCAGGUCAGCAUACUGCGGUGAAUACGUUCCCGGGCCUUGUACACACCGCCCGUCACACCAUGGAAGUUGGCCAUGCCCGAAGUCGUUACUCCAACCCUUGUGGAGGA